GCCCGUAUAGCUCAGUGGUAGAGCGCGUCACUCGUAUCGCUUCCUGCUGCUUCUUGCAGAAAAGGGACAACUGUUUGCGACAUGACGAGGUCCACGGUUCAAUCCCGUGUGGGGGCA